CCAGGACCAACCCCUUUUCAGACCUCAUUUAAGGGCUGGUAUUGGAGGUAAGGGUAUUUUGCUGGAGGUCCCUGCAUGCCUGAGGUGUUCUAAAGUUGGGAGUAAGAAGAAUUCUAGAGCCUAACUCAAACAGAGCUGGAAAGGGGCUGCAAAAGUGAGCAGCAAGUUUCAGAGAAAUCGCCUGAGAACAUGUUCACCUUGCUGUGGCUAGGAUUUUUGGCUAAGUCGCAAACUCUAAGUUCAAGAUAUGUAUUCAUGUGAAGGUUUGGAUUAGGAUUAAAUCAGAAUUUUGAGACAAGAAAAAAUCACAGCCACACCUGAAGAAGCUCCCGGAAGAAAGGCACGUGGAGGGAUUCAGGAAAUACAUGAAAACCUGGAGACAAAUUUCAUUGAAAUCUUUAUAGCUUUCAUUUGGAAUAGCAUGAUUUUUUUGUGUAGCUGAAUAUGCCUUUCAUUUUGAUUGAAAAGCACAUCUUAAAUGUAAGAGGUAUCUCUGCUUGUGUUGUCUUAGAUUGCAAGUUAUUGCUGUCUCACUAGCAGUCUCCUACUGAAACAAAUGGUAUACAUCAAUACAUAUGUUCCUGACAGAAAAAAAAUAAUCAAUGUAAUGGAAGUAGUUUAUAUCCCAGAAGAGAUCUUCCUGUCAGAGAGAUUCCAAACCACGGUAAUGGACAUCUACUGUCUUUACAGAAGCUAUAUUUCUUGUUGCAGCCUUCAUGGCUUUUGCAUUUCUUUUUUUUCCCCCUAGUCAUCUCUCCUAUUGAAUGUGCAUCUAAUCAGGAAGAGGUUUUGCAAUACAGUGAGCUGCAGUGCCACCAAUAAUUAAUGCCAUUCAACUCUGCAGCCACAAUUUUCUGUUUCCUUUCAUCUCUAGUAGUUAUUUACCCUUGCACAAAGUGAGUAUAGCACUAACAAAUCAGAUUGAUUCUCAAUUUACAUAUAUACAAUGUCAUUGCUUGGGAAAACAGUACUUACAUGAGUAAAUGAACAGUUAAACAUCUGAUUCAUCAUUUGCAUCUGCAAUCAUAAUAAUGACUUGUAUAAACUGUGCAAUUGUGCAUGUAUUUUUGUGCAUGCACCUGCCUUAUGGUUCUCUUCACCUCUUAACGUAAAUAUAUGAAAAUUUAGUAUCUGUUUUUGUCCCUAUUUUUAAUCUAAAAUAUGACACUUCCAUUAAACUAUAUUUCCAUUUAUUUUGGAUUAUUCAUUCAGUUAAUGUACAGUUUGAGGUAAUAUCUAACAGAUUAUCACGUCCUUACCAAAAAAACAAAAACAAUUUCCUUGGAUUUCUCUUGGCCAAUUACUGAAGGGGAACAGUGUAUGACCAUACUGCAAGGCAAAACUAAUUGGUGGAGUUGUAUUGAAAUUGACAUAGAACUACAUUAUUGUAUGUGAAAUCUGAUGACUGGCUAUUGCUUAAUUGUAAACUGCUCCAUAAUCUGAUAGUUACAUAUUUAGAUGGUAGUAAACCAUCAAAAAAACAUGGAAAUGUUUUCACUCUGUGAGUUGUUUGUGUUAGGGGAAAAAACUACUAGUUUUCCUGGUAUUCCAACCUAUAGUUUAAGCUACACUUAGUUAUGAAUACUUGCUGUGAUAGAACCUGUGCUUGUGCUACAACGUGGCAAAAACAUAGUGCAGUCCAGCUGAAAGGCUUAAUUUGGUAGAGAUUGUUCAAGUCUUGUAAGGUCUCAUUCCAAGUAAUGGAGAGGGGAUUCCAUGUAUUCUAGUUUUGCAGUCAUAAAACACAUUGUCCAGUGGAAUGUAAGGAAAGGAUGUGUUUUGACUGUCAUUUUUACUAUAUACUUUGGGCCUUUGUGGGGACACAAGCAGAGAGGUAUCUUUUAGAUAAACGGGGCAUUUGAGGUACAGAAAGAUUUAUAAGUCUCUGAACUGUGCACUGCACAAAACCAAUGGACUGUUGAACUCGAGCUCUGGUUCAGCAGUGGGAUCAAAGAGUGGUACUAGCUGGUUUUUCUAGUUAGGAUUAGUUACGAUAUCAGGGUCAAACUCAGGGAUGACAAAAGUGUAAUUGUGUAUGGUUUUAAACCAUGAUCAUAAGCAUGUACAUGUGCAAAAUGCUGACUAAAUAGAGUCUGUAUAUCUAGACCUAAGAAAUAAAGGUUGGUGGAAGAAACUGACCUUCACAGGGA